GACCGGCGCACGGGUGCGUAACACGUAUGCAACCUACCCAUAAGCGGGGAAUAACCCGGAGAAUUCGGACUAAUACCGCAUGGUACGCAAGAGAGGCAUCUUUCUUGUUUUAAAGAUUUAUCACUUAUGGAUGGGCAUGCGCAUGAUUAGAUAGUAGGCGGGGUAACGGCCCACCUAGUCAACGAUCAUUAGGGGUUCUGAGAGGAAGGUCCCCCACACUGGUACUGAGACACGGACCAGACUCCUACGGGAGGCAGCAGUGAGGAAUAUUGGUCAAUGGGCGAGAGCCUGAACCAGCCAAGUCGCGUGAAGGAAGAAGGAUCUAUGGUUCGUAAACUUCUUUUAUAUGGGAAUAAAGUGUAGGACGAGUCCUAUUUUGUAAGUACCAUAUGAAUAAGCAUCGGCUAACUCCGUGCCAGCAGCCGCGGUAAUACGGAGGAUGCGAGCGUUAUCCGGAUUUAUUGGGUUUAAAGGGUGCGUAGGCGGACUUUUAAGUCAGUGGUAAAAUCUUGCAGCUCAACUGUAAGUAGCCAUCGAAACUGGAGGUCUUGAGUGUAAAUGAGGUAGGCGGAAUGUGUUGUGUAGCGGUGAAAUGCUUAGAUAUGACACAGAACACCAAUUGCGAAGGCAGCUUACUAAGAUACAACUGACGCUGAUGGACGAAAGCGUGGGGAGCGAACAGGAUUAGAU
rnacentral:rRNA from 1 species